rnacentral:lncRNA from 1 species
CCCCCAGCAUCACCUAUGCCUUCAUGGUGCUGGUGACCAUGGUGAUGCGGCUCAUCAGUGCCAGCGGGGAGGUGGUACCCAUGUCCUUUGCACUCGUGCUGGGCUGGUGCAACGUCAUGUACUUCGCCCGAGGAUUCCAGAUGCUAGGCCCCUUCACCAUCAUGAUUCAGAAAUGAUUUUUGGCGACCUGAUGCGAUUCUGCUGGCUGAUGGCUGUGGUCAUCCUGGGCUUUGCUUCACCUUCUAUAUCAUCUUCCAGACAGAGGACCCCGAGGAGCUAGGCCACUUCUACGACUACCCCAUGGCCCUGUUCAGCACCUUCGAGCUGUUCCUUACCAUCAUCGAUGGCCCAGCCAACUACAACGUGGACCUGCCCUUCAUGUACAGCAUCACCUAUGCUGCCUUUGCCAUCAUCGCCACACUGCUCAUGCUCAACCUCCUCAU